AUAUAAACAUGAAGGCCAGGUGCGGCGGCUUACACCCGUAAUCCCAGCACUUUGGGAAGAGUGAAGUGGAGGAAGAGGUACAUUCAACUACAGAGGAGGAAACUGAGGCCCAGAGGGGAAAAGUGACUUGAUUGACAAAAAUUGGAUUCUGGUCUUUGUUCUGCCAAAGGGAAAUAACUUCCAUGUCUGUUCUUACCCAUCAGGAUUAUUGGGAGGAAAAAUAUACAACACCGUAAAUGAAAAACAUUUUAUAAACCUUAUACCACUCUCCGGAUGCUGGGGAUCAGUUGCACAUAUAAGAGGUGCCCCAUGGACACCAUUGACUCAUUAAUCUGGGAAGUCUACAGCCACUAAAUCUGUGUUGCUGAGUCUGCUGUUUGCAUGCAGGAAUGUGAAGGACUGCUCAAGUUGGAGAUACAAAUUGAAGCCAGCCCCAGUUCAAAACUGUUACAAAUGGAGUCUGUAGGCAUGAGGGGCUGACUAUAUAACUCAGAGUUCUCCAGUACUUUACUUUAAUAAAGAACACAAUCUUUAUUAAAGGAUAAGUAAUAAAAAUGUGUUGAUGUGCAACUUAUGGAUCUAUUAUUAAAACUCAACAGUCAUUGCAGCAAUGUUUAGAACUUAAGCAAACAAAAGUUUUGUGAGGGGGCAAUUUUAUCAAUGACAUUGUUUAGAAAUGUUGGUAGAUGGUGAUCAUAAAAAGCAGAUCAAUGUUUUAUUUCACUUGGGUUUUUAAAAAUUAUUUUUAAAAAAUU
rnacentral:lncRNA from 10 species